UGUGUGUGUGUGUGUGUGUGUGUGUGUGUGUGUGUGUGUGUGUGUGUGUGUGUGUAUGUGUCCCUCACACUUGUAUGGGGGAGGGGGUUGACCUGUUGGGUACCUCAGUUCAACUUCUCAUUAAAGAAACCUGAUUGGAAACACCUGCAGUAGGAAGGACCUAUAAAGACAGCAGCAUGUCCUGAACACUUGACUCAGAAGCACACUGGUGUUUGGUUGGUGUAGUUGGUGUGUGUGGACGUGUGGACGUGUGGACGUGUGGACGUGUGGACGUGUGGACGUGUGGACGUGUGGACGUGUGGACGUGUGGACGUGUGGACGUGUGGACGUGUGGACGUGUGGACGUGUGGACGUGUGGACGUGUGGACGUGUGGACGUGUGAGUGCUUUGCAUGCACGCACAGUCCAGCUGGAGGGUUUGUGAGUACACAGCAAGUGCAGCUGCAGCAGUCAUGGCUGCGUGGUUCCUAAUUGCAAGGUUUUUACUGCUUUAUGUUUUGAGUGAUGUAGACUACUCCUCAGCUUUUCCAAGAGUCCUGUGCAGCCUAGAGUAUGGCAGGGUGGAAGAGGGGAACACGAUGUGUACGGAAACCCUCGUCCUUUCCAGUACAUGAGGGCUCUGAGGCCGACGGAUCCAAAGAUCUACCCUAAUGUGCGUGAUCGGGUCAAAGUCGAAUCCCCGAGAUCGUAUCAGCCACGCUCUAAUAUUCCCACCCACAGAUCCAUGGAAACAUCUCCGCUCCAGCCUCGAGCACACAGAAACCACCUUGUGGCCAAGCCCAGGAGCUUUGACUUAGCCCUGAGGAUCCCUUUUGCUCAUUCUCGUGAUGGUGCUAAUCCUCCUCGGUACGGACCGAGUGGCCUUAUUAUUGACAACAGUUUUAAUAAUCCCCGCAGACAGCAUGGCCAUGAUGCUUCCAAGCUGGGCUACCAGUUCAGCUUAUCUGUUCCCUUUUCACGUGGUUCUCCACGCCACCCAGGUGGCCACGAACAUCACGGUGGGCAUCAACACAGGCCUGAGGAAGGCUAUUUGGGUCAUCAAAGAGAGCAGGUUCAUGUGCCAGUUCGUCCAAGGCCAUACCCCGACGAGCAUCAUCGUGAGCAUGAUCGCGAGCAUCGUGAUGAAGGCCGCCCUGGGCGGGAGUUUGCAUUUCCAGAGCCAGAUGGACCAGAAAACCCAUCAAGGCCGCGCCAUCCUCAAAGAUAUGUCGGCCCUUACAGUGGAUACUACAACUCCCAGAUGAAGCCUACGUGGAAUGACUACUGGUGGCAUUACCGUGGACCUCACUGGGGUCAUAUAAAGCAUCCAUCUUCUGACCCUUGGCCAAAUUUCCAUCGGUCAGCUUCAGACUGACAUGGAUGGAAGAGACAAGCCAAACUCA
ensembl:lncRNA